UCAGGGCUCCUGAAGGCAAUUAUUUUCCAGGUGAUAGGCCUGCUAGGGACAGUGGGAUUAGGAGGGCUGGGCCACUAGUGUCAGAAUGCCGGGACCUGAACGGUUCCUUAUUAAGUAACAGAGAGUGAGGCAGGGCCUAACCUCCCUGGUAGUUUAUACUAAAGACAGUGAUCUUUGUUUUAUGUAUAUUUUUGUUUUUGAGCUACCUGAAUAAAAGGUAUUUGUUGUUUUUGCACAAGCCUAGAGUCGGUCAUUGGUGGAUUUUUGCAGCAGAGCACAUUCUAACAAGUCUCCUGUUACAAAUGGCGCCUGAACAGGGACCCUUCUGCUAGCCGUGUCACACGUGGCAGAGGACUCAACAGCCGCAAGGUAGUGGCACACAUACCAGCGAACUCCAGACCAAGCUGAACUCAUGGGCAUCAGUACCAGACCACGGGUGUUUGUGAACAUAUCAAGCCUUUUAAGUCUUCUCUAUAGCCCCGCCUCCAGGCACUGUGAGCUCAAUUUCGUUAAUCAGUCCAAUGCAGGAGCAGGUAAGAGAGAAGCCUGUGAUGUUCAGCAGGGGAGAGACCAGGGAGCCAGCGUUUUCCUCAUGCAGCUUCUGUGGAGAAAAUGGCGCUGGUUAGUGCUGAGGAUCAAGCCCCG